GCGUGUGAUUCAAAAAUGCCAGACAUGCAGGCAGGUUGGGAGCAGAUGUGUACCAACGUGCUCGCAGGGACCAGCGGCUGCAACAUGAUCUACGAAGCCG
rfam:Octadecabacter temperatus strain SB1, complete genome.